rnacentral:rRNA from 1 species
UGCGUAGGCGGAUUAAUAAGUCAGUGGUGAAAACCUGCAGCUUAACUGUAGAACUGCCAUUGAAACUGUUAGUCUUGAGUACGGUCAAGGUAGGCGGAAUGUGUAAUGUAGCGGUGAAAUGCUUAGAUAUUACACAGAACACCGAUUGCGAAGGCAGCUUACUGGACCAUUACUGACGCUGAGGCACGAAAGCGUGGGUAGCGAACAGGAUUAGAUACCCUGGUAGUCC